AGGUAUGUGUUGCAGUGGUAGCAAAGCUCAUAUUCAUCCUGGCCCUUUCGAAAUGAGUGACUUAGGUUCGAUUCCUGACAUACUCC